rnacentral:rRNA from 1 species
AUUGAACGCUGGCGGCAGGCCUAACACAUGCAAGUCGAGCGGAUGAAGGGAGCUUGCUCCUGGAUUCAGCGGCGGACGGGUGAGUAAUGCCUAGGAAUCUGCCUGGUCGUGGGGGAUAACGUCCGGAAACGGGCGCUAAUACCGCAUACGUCCUGAGGGAGAGAGUGGGGGAUCUUCGGACCUCACGCUAUCAGAUGAGCCUAGGUCGGAUUAGCUAGUUGGUGGGGUAAAGGCCUACCAAGGCGACGAUCCGUAACUGGUCUGAGAGGAUGAUCAGUCACACUGGAACUGAGACACGGUCCAGACUCCUACGGGAGGCAGCAGUGGGGAAUAUUGGACAAUGGGCGAAAGCCUGAUCCAGCCAUGCCGCGUGUGUGAAGAAGGUCUUCGGAUUGUAAAGCACUUUAAGUUGGGAGGAAGGGCAGUAAGUUAAUACCUUGCUGUUUUGACGUUACCAACAGAAUAAGCACCGGCUAACUUCGUG